CUCACGCAUCUGGCGUGACACUCACGCUGUCACGCUCGCGCAAGAAUUCUUACGGCAAAUGUAUAUUAUUACAUUAUAAGCCUAAAAUUAGCUGCAUUAAAAGCGGUGGGGUAGUUUGCAAACCCUACACACUAUUUACAAGCUGCUUAUCGUGAACAGGACAAUAGACGUAAGGCACAAGAAAAGACGCCACCAAGGGGACACCCCUGUGGCCACCACCAAAACGGCGGUAGAGAUUUUAUAUCAGAAGCGGAACCAUCGAAAGCUAAGGUCUACCGCCGGAUCCUUAAACGUGUAGGACCUACAAUAGACAGAUGUGGAUGUCCAUGGCUACCAACGUCACUGUUUAUGGAUGCCUGUUCCUGACGAAUAAAAUAAAUCAUAAUAAAUAAAUAUGUCUUUCACCAAA